rnacentral:rRNA from 1 species
ACUCCUACGGGAGGCAGCAGUAGGGAAUCUUCCACAAUGGGCGCAAGCCUGAUGGAGCAACACCGCGUGAGUGAAGAAGGGUUUCGGCUCGUAAAGCUCUGUUGUUAAAGAAGAACACGUAUGAGAGUAACUGUUCAUACGUUGACGGUAUUUAACCAGAAAGUCACGGCUAACUACGUGCCAGCAGCCGCGGUAAUACGUAGGUGGCAAGCGUUAUCCGGAUUUAUUGGGCGUAAAGAGAGUGCAGGCGGUUUUCUAAGUCUGAUGUGAAAGCCUUCGGCUUAACCGGAGAAGUGCAUCGGAAACUGGAUAACUUGAGUGCAGAAGAGGGUAGUGGAACUCCAUGUGUAGCGGUGGAAUGCGUAGAUAUAUGGAAGAACACCAGUGGCGAAGGCGGCUACCUGGUCUGCAACUGACGCUGAGACUCGAAAGCAUGGGUAGCGAACAGGAUUAGAUACCCCGUGGUAGGAUA